rnacentral:lncRNA from 1 species
UUUUCCACAAUUAGUUUAUGGCUUUUAAUUCUCAUGUGCAUACACACAGUUAUACUUAUUUGUUUGAACAGACUACAGUAAUAAGAGAGGAUCAAUAUCACCACCAUUUCUGAUGUAUAUGCCUUCCGGGAAAUCUUCAGGUAUCUCUCCUUCAACUUGCAGAAUCUCUAUGGCUUCACUGAUCUCACUGACUGGUGCAAAAUUGCUCUGCAGAAUUGUCAAAGCUGGCCUUUAAAUUCAUUAUUGAUGAAUGAAAUGGAAUGAAGCUUCUCCAGAAUGAA